rnacentral:rRNA from 1 species
CAGCAGCCGCGGGAAUACGGAGGGUGCAAGCGUUAAUCGGAAUUACUGGGCGUAAAGCGCACGCAGGCGGUCUGACAAGUCAGAUGUGAAAUCCCCGGGCUUAACCUGGGAACUGCUUUUGAAACUGUCAGGCUGGAGUCUUGUAGAGGGGGGUGGAAUUCCAGGUGUAGCGGUGAAAUGCGUAGAGAUCUGGAGGAAUACCGGUGGCGAAGGCGGCCCCCUGGACAAAGACUGACGCUCAGGUGCGAAAGCGUGGGGAGCAAACAGGAUUAGAUACCCGCGUAGUCCCUGUCUCUUAUAU